AUAGUUGCCUGACAGGGGAGAUGGCAUCAUCAGGAAGGCUGUUUCCUCAUGGUGUUUCAUCUCUUGCCGUGUGGGUGUGCUUGACCCCUGAGGUUUACUCAGAAGUAGGAAACACGACUGCAUAACUUUGGAGUUGGGAGCAUGUUCACACUCCCCUAGG
ensembl:snRNA U1 U1 spliceosomal RNA